GUGUUACAUCAGCGAUCGAUAGAUGAAGCAUUCAUGAUCACAAGGGGACUGAUCAUGACUGUGUGUACAACGCGAUAAGAAAACGUUGCCCAGGGGUUUAUCUCCAAUGGCGAGUAGAUUAACGCUAACCCCCUUGUUUAUCAGAAAACGAAAGUAGACAAGUGUCAAAUCGUUGCUGACCUCAAACCCGAAGCUGUCGAUGUUGCCAUCGUUAUCUAGUAGUAGACAGGUUGGUGUUUUCAUAGAAGAAACCCUCCCCUUGCCGUCGCUCCAUGACUGAGGGGCGCAAAUAGUCGUAGGGUCCUCGUCUUUGUAUUCAUGCCGGAACUGAAACGCGUACCCACUGUACGUCGUACCAAAGUCGAUCGCAACCACAAUAAGAUGUUCA